GUAAACGGCGGCCGUAACUAUAACGGUCCUAAGGUAGCGAAAUUCCUUGUCGGGUAAGUUCCGACCUGCACGAAUGGCGUAAUGAUGGCCAGGCUGUCUCCACCCGAGACUCAGUGAAAUUGAACUCGCUGUGAAGAUGCAGUGUACCCGCGGCAAGACGGAAAGACCCCGUGAACCUUUACUAUAGCUUGACACUGAACAUUGAGCCUUGAUGUGUAGGAUAGGUGGGAGGCUUUGAAGCGUGGACGCCAGUCUGCGUGGAGCCAACCUUGAAAUACCACCCUUUAAUGUUUGAUGUUCUAACGUUGGCCCCUGACCGGGGUUGCGGACAGUGUCUGGUGGGUAGUUUGACUGGGGCGGUCUCCUCCCAAAGCGUAACGGAGGAGCACGAAGGUUAGCUAAUCCUGGUCGGACAUCAGGAGGUUAGUGCAAUGGCAUAAGCUAGCUUGACUGCGAGCGUGACGGCGCGAGCAGGUGCGAAAGCAGGUCAUAGUGAUCCGGUGGUUCUGAAUGGAAGGGCCAUCGCUCAACGGAUAAAAGGUACUCCGGGGAUAACAGGCUGAUACCGCCCAAGAGUUCAUAUCGACGGCGGUGUUUGGCACCUCGAUGUCGGCUCAUCACAUCCUGGGGCUGAAGUAGGUCCCAAGGGUAUGGCUGUUCGCCAUUUAAAGUGGUACGCGAGCUGGGUUUAGAACGUCGUGAGACAGUUCGGUCCCUAUCUGCCGUGGGCGCUGGAGAAUUGAGGGGGGCUGCUCCUAGUACGAGAGGACCGGAGUGGACGCAUCACUGGUGUUCGGGUUGUCAUGCCAAUGGCACUGCCCGGUAGCUAAAUGCGGAAGAGAUAAGUGCUGAAAGCAUCUAAGCACGAAACUUGCCCCGAGAUGAGUUCUCCCUGAGACUUUAAGUCUCCUGAAGGAACGUUGAAGACGACGACGUUGAUAGGCCGGGUGUGUAAGCGCAGCGAUGCGUUGAGCUAACCGGUACUAAUGAACCGUGAGGCUUAACCUUACAACGCCGAAG
rnacentral:rRNA from 1 species